rnacentral:rRNA from 1 species
UACGUAGGUGGCAAGCGUUGUCCGGAUUUAUUGGGUUUAAAGGGUGCGUAGGCGGCUUUGUAAGUCAGUGGUGAAAUAUGGCAGCUCAACUGUCAGGGUGCCAUUGAUACUGCAGAGCUUGAGUACAGAUGAGGUAGGUGGAAUUGACGGUGUAGCGGUGAAAUGCUUAGAUAUCGUCAAGAACACCGAUAGCGAAGGCAGCUUGCUACACAAUCAUUGACACUGAGGCACGAAAGCGUGGGGAUCAAACAGG